rnacentral:rRNA from 1 species
AUGGACCAUUCCAUCCCUUUUUCCCGUGCAUAUGCAUCGGACUCGGAUGACGAUGGUCCCGAUGAACAAGUUGAUGCGGAGGGGUUCACGGUGAAGGAGGCCGAAGCUUUCGAGAAGGUAUUUGGUCGGGAUCACCGGACUACAUUGUUCAAGGAUGUUAGUCUCGCGGAUGAAGCCGUGGUAGAUGGUGGCCAAUGUGUAGCUCUUGGGGUUAGGCCAAGCUCUCACCGUGAUUUGGUAGACGACAAGAACCGGAUUGCUAAAGGUUCUAAGUUCGACAGCUUGUUGGAUUUGAAGAUGUGGCUCGACAACUACUCGGUUACGCAUUAUCGUCCACACAAGGUGGUGCACUCGGACGUCAAUGUGCGCUACACGGUUGCAUGUGCAUGUGAAGAUGAAAGGAGGUCCAACUUGGACUUACAAGAGGCCGUGGUGGUGGUAGAGGUCGUGGAAAGGAGGUCCAACAAGGAGUGGCAAGACGCCGUGGCGGUUGUCCGUGGAUUGUGCGUGCAAGACCAUGGAAAGGAGGUCCUACUUGGCAUGUAG